CACGUAGUUAGCCGGGGCUUCUUAGUCAGGUACCGUCAUUUUCUUCCCUGCUGAUAGAGCUUUACAUACCGAAAUACUUCAUCGCUCGCGCGGCGUCGCUGCAUCAGGGUUUCCCCCAUUGUGCAAUAUUCCCCACUGCUGCCUCCCGUAGGAGUCUGGGCCGUGUCUCAGUCCCAAUGUGGCCGGUCACCCUCUCAAGUCGGCUACUGAUCGUCGGCUUGGUGAGCCCGUUACCUCACCAACUACCUAAUCAGACGCGGGCCCAUCUUACACCACCGGAGUUUUUACCUCAGAACCAUGCGGUUCCGCGGUCUUAUGCGGUAUUAGCAGUCAUUUCUAACUGUUAUCCCCCUGUGUAAGGCAGGUUGCCCACGCGUUACUCACCCGUCCGCCGCUCAGUCACAAUUAUCUUCAUCCGAAGAUCAAUCAAAGUGCUUCGCUCGACUUGCAUGUGUUAGCACGCCGCAGCGUCAUCCUGAGCAGG
rnacentral:rRNA from 1 species